ensembl:snoRNA
AAGAUGCAACAAGAGAGCUUAUGGGACCAAAACCAGGAGCUCUUAAUGCUGUGACCUGAGAUUGAAGUUGUCCAUAGGAUGUAACAGGCACCCAAUAGCGCUAUGUUUUCCUGAGGAGAUAUAAGA